rnacentral:rRNA from 1 species
GGGCUUGACAUCCCACGAACCUGCCUGAAAGGGCGGGGUGCCCGCAAGGGAGCGUGGAGACAGGUGGUGCAUGGCUGUCGUCAGCUCGUGUCGUGAGAUGUUGGGUUAAGUCCCGCAACGAGCGCAACCCUCACCCCUAGUUGCCACCGGGUAAUACCGAGCACUCGAGGGGAACUGCCAGCGUCAAGCUGGAGGAAGGCGGGGAUGACGUCAAGUCAUCAUGCCCCUUACGCCCUGGGCUACACACGUGCUACAAUGGCCAGUACAAAGGGACGCGAGACCGCGAGGUGGAGCAAAUCCCAAAAAGCUGGUCUAAGUUCAGAUUGCAGUCUGCAACUCGACUGCAUGAAGGAGGAAUCGCUAGUAAUCGCGCAUCAGCCCGGCGCGGUGAAUACGUUCCCGGGCCUUGUACACACCGCCCGUCACACCACGAAAGCUGUCUGUACUCGAAGUCGCUGAGA